rnacentral:rRNA from 1 species
UCCCGCGUAAUUUAAGCAUAUUAAUAAGCGGAGGAAAAGAAACUAACAAGGAUUCCCCUAGUAGCUGCGAGCGAACAGGGAGGAGCCCAGCACCGAAUCCUGCGCGUCGAGGAGCGCGUCUGGAAAUGUGGUGUUUGGGAGGGUCCGGUCAUCUCGUGAGAGUACGCCAGUCCAAGUCCAUCUUGAAAGCGGCCACAGCCCACAGAGGGUGCCAGGCCCGUGGGACGGCGGUGCGACUCGAUCGAAAGGAUCUCUNNNNNNNNNNNNNNNNNNNNNNNNNNNNNNNNNNNNNNNNNNNNNNNNNNUCUUGAAGCACGGACCAAGGAGUCUAACAUGUGCGCGAGUCAUUGGGACUAGCGACUAAACCUAAAGGCGUAACGAAAGUGAAGGCGCGGCAGCGCGGCACUCGUGCCGCGCCGCCCGCCGAGGGGGGAUUCGUCCCGUCCGCAGCGACGCGGGCGACGCACCCCCGCGGCGUCUCGUUGUCAUUGCGACACAGCAGGCGCACGCUGAGCGUACACGUUGGGACCCGAAAGAUGGUGAACUAUGCCUGGUCAGGUCUGGCACUCGGAGACAGAUGUGUGAGAGCGGCGCGGCGGGCGCAAGCCCGCGACGUGCGUCCGCAAGUAACCAGUCUCAUCUGGUAAAGCGAAUGAUUAGAGGCCUUGGGGCCGAAACGACCUCAACCUAUUCUCAAACUUUAAAUGGGUGAGAAAUUCGACUUGCUCGAAUCGAGUCCAGCGAUGGACGAUGAAGUCGAAAGACAUGUGCAAAAGGAUGAACGAGCGGCCAAGUGGGCCAAUUUUGGUAAGCAGAACUGGUGCUGUGGGAUGAACCAAACGUCGAGUUAAGGCGCCUAAAUCGAUGCUCAUGGGAUACCAUGAAAGGCGUUGGUUGCCGUUGUUGAUGUGCUGUCGAAUAAUCUAAUGAUUAUGACCACAUCGGGCGAAAGGGAAUCCGGUUUCUAUUCCGGAACCCGGCUGCGGAACCGACCAUGCGGGCCAAUGUCGCAGCAAUGCGGCAACUCGUCGGGGUAACCCAAAAGGACCCGGAGACGCCGUCGGAUGAUCGAGGCAGAGUUUUCUGUUCUGUAUGAGCGUUCGAGUUCCCUGGAAGCGCCUAGCGCGGAGAUAGGGUUUGGAACGCGAAGAGCACCGCACUUGCGGCGGUGUCUCGAUCUAUCCCUCGGACCUUGAAAAUCCGGGAGAGGGCCACGUGGAGGUGUCGCGCCGGUUCGUACCGAUAUCCGCAGCUGUCUCCAAGGUCAGGAGCCUCUAGUCGAUAGAAU